AGCCGAGCGGUAAGAUCUUUCGGGAUCUUGAGAGCGGCGUACGGGUGCGGAACACGUGUGCAACCUGCCUUUAUCAGGGGGAUAGCCUUUCGAAAGGAAGAUUAAUACCCCAUAAUAUAUUGAAUGGCAUCAUUUGAUAUUGAAAACUCCGGUGGAUAGAGAUGGGCACGCGCAAGAUUAGAUAGUUGGUAGGGUAACGGCCUACCAAGUCAGUGAUCUUUAGGGGGCCUGAGAGGGUGAUCCCCCACACUGGUACUGAGACACGGACCAGACUCCUACGGGAGGCAGCAGUGAGGAAUAUUGGACAAUGGGUGAGAGCCUGAUCCAGCCAUCCCGCGUGAAGGACGACGGCCCUAUGGGUUGUAAACUUCUUUUGUAUAGGGAUAAACCUUUCCACGUGUGGAAAGCUGAAGGUACUAUACGAAUAAGCACCGGCUAACUCCGUGCCAGCAGCCGCGGUAAUACGGAGGGUGCAAGCGUUAUCCGGAUUUAUUGGGUUUAAAGGGUCCGUAGGCGGAUCUGUAAGUCAGUGGUGAAAUCUCAUAGCUUAACUUAUGAAACUGCCAUUGAUACUGCAGGUCUUGAGUAAAGUAGAAGUGGCUGGAAUAAGUAGUGUAGCGGUGAAAUGCAUAGAUAUUACUUAGAACACCAAUUGCGAAGGCAGGUCACUAUGUUUUAACUGACGCUGAUGGACGAAAGCGUGGGGAGCGAACAGGAUUAGAUACCCUGGUAGUCCACGCCGUAAACGAUGCUAACUCGUUUUUGGGCUUUAGGGUUCAGAGACUAAGCGAAAGUGAUAAGUUAGCCACCUGGGGAGUACGUUCGCAAGAAUGAAACUCAAAGGAAUUGACGGGGGCCCGCACAAGCGGUGGAUUAUGUGGUUUAAUUCGAUGAUACGCGAGGAACCUUACCAAGGCUUAAAUGGGAAUUGACAGGUUUAGAAAUAGACUUUUCUUCGGACAAUUUUCAAGGUGCUGCAUGGUUGUCGUCAGCUCGUGCCGUGAGGUGUUAGGUUAAGUCCUGCAACGAGCGCAACCCCUGUCACUAGUUGCCAUCAUUCAGUUGGGGACUCUAGUGAGACUGCCUACGCAAGUAGAGAGGAAGGUGGGGAUGACGUCAAAUCAUCACGGCCCUUACGCCUUGGGCCUGGGAGGUGAGUACAAGGCCGGUACAGAGGGCAGCUACCUAGCGAUAGGAUGCGAAUCUCGAAAG
rnacentral:rRNA from 1 species